rnacentral:rRNA from 1 species
GAUGAACGCUGGCGGCGUGCCUAAUACAUGCAAGUCGAGCGAACAGACGAGGAGCUUGCUCCUCUGACGUUAGCGGCGGACGGGUGAGUAACACGUGGAUAACCUACCUAUAAGACUGGGAUAACUUCGGGAAACCGGAGCUAAUACCGGAUAAUAUAUUGAACCGCAUGGUUCAAUAGUGAAAGACGGUUUUGCUGUCACUUAUAGAUGGAUCCGCGCCGCAUUAGCUAGUUGGUAAGGUAACGGCUUACCAAGGCAACGAUGCGUAGCCGACCUGAGAGGGUGAUCGGCCACCCUGGACCUGAGACACGGUCCAGACUCCUACGGGAGGCAGCAGUAGGGAAUCUUCCGCAAUGGGCGAAAGCCUGACGGAGCAACGCCGCGUGAGUGAUGAAGGUCUUCGGAUCGUAAAACUCUGUUAUUAGGGAAGAACAAAUGUGUAAGUAACUAUGCACGUCUUGACGGUACCUAAUCAGAAAGCCACGGCUAACUACGUG